UCCCUGGUGGUCCAGUGGUUAGGACUCGGCGUUUUGACUGCCGUGACCUGGGGUUCAAUCCCUGGUCAGGGAA